AUUGAACGCUGGCGGCAGGCUUAACACAUGCAAGUCGAACGAGUGGCGGACGGGUGAGUAAUGCUUGGGAAUCUAGCUUAUGGAGGGGGAUAACUACGGGAACCUGUAGCUAAUACCGCGUACCAUAGGAUGAGCCCAAGUGGGAUUAGGUAGUUGGUGAGGUAAAGGCUCACCAAGCCGACGAACUCUCGAUGGUCUGAGAGGAUGACCAGCCACCAGGGGACUGCGACACGGCCCAGACUCCUACGGGAGGCAGCAUUGGGGAAUAUUGCGCAAUGGGGGCAACCUGACGCGGCCAUGCCGCGUGAAUGAAGAAGGCCUUCGGGUUGUAAAGUUCUUUCGGUAGCGAGGCGUUAACUACAGAAGAAGCACCGGCUAACUCCGUGCCAGCCGCCGCGGUAAUAC
rnacentral:rRNA from 1 species